UACAGAGGUCUCAAGCGUUGUUCGGAUUCAUUGGGCGUAAAGGGUGCGUAGGUGGCGCGCUAAGUCAGGUGUGAAAUUUCGGAGCUUAACUCCGAAACUGCAUUUGAUACUGGUGUGCUUGAGGACUGGAGAGGAGACUGGAAUUUACGGUGUAGCAGUGAAAUGCGUAGAUAUCGUAAGGAAGACCAGUGGCGAAGGCGGAUCUCUGGACAGUUCCUGACGCUGAGGCACGAAGGUCAGGGGAGCAAACGGG
rnacentral:rRNA from 1 species